rnacentral:rRNA from 1 species
UACGUAGGGGGCUAGCGUUGUCCGGAUUUAUUGGGCGUAAAGAGCGUGUAGGCGGCCAUGUAGGUCCGGUGUGAAAACUCGAGGCUUAACCUCGAGAUGUCAUCGGAAACCAUUUGGCUAGAGUCCGGAAGAGGAGAGUGGAAUUCCUGGUGUAGCGGUGAAAUGCGCAGAUAUCAGGAGGAACACCGGUGGCGAAGGCGGGACUCUGGGCCGAUACUGACGCUGAGGAGCGAAAGCGUGGGGAGCAAACAGG